UCCACAAUCUCAAAAUCAUAGGAGCGUAGUACGCUUCUCGUUUUUCGAAAAUGGGAGAAUUUCUCCAAAAGUCAAGCUUCCACUCGAGAACAACUAUAUUUUCUCCACGAGUGCAUUCGCCAGCAUGUUCUGCCAACAAGUGUAAGAUACAGACCUCCAAUCAACUGCCCAUUAGAAUGGAAAAUAGCUGAGCAAAGUGGAAGAAAAAUGGUUCAUCUAAUGAUAAUGGACACACAUUACAGGAUCCGCAAAUACCCACAUGUCAUAGAAGACCAAAAGAGGAAGCUACAACAGACAUUCACACCAUAACACUUCGAAACCUUGACAAUAGCCAUCGAAACAUUAUGCAAAAGACACAGAGAAAAAAAGAAACGUCCUUAAAAAGAAAAUAAUCAAAAUCUCAAAACCGACCAUUGAUCGUAAGGCAAUGUGGUGUUUAGGGUGGCUUCAGACAUUACUGCUCUGUCCCAAGUUCAGCAAUGAGUACGGCUUCCCAUUCUGGCCCAAAGAGGGUGAAAGGCCCGUGGGGGCAGAGAUCAAGUGUGACAGUUUUGCUCUGAGCUACCCUUGGAGUCGGGUUGUUUGUGAAUGCACUCCAAUGGGUGGUAAACUCCAUCCAAGGCUAAAUACUUACACGAGUCGCACGAAAUUGAGCAAUAACAGGUUUGUGACGCCCUUAGAUGUCCGGGGCCACACGUGCGCUAUAUUAACGGUGCCAGCGAUUAUGGAAACCUGGCCCGAAAGUGUUGGGCAAACUGUUUCAUCACCGUCGUGACUGGGAUCGGGGCUUGCAAUUAAUCCCCGUGAACGAGGAUUUCCUGGUUAAUGCAAGUGAUAAGCUUGCGCUGAUUACGUCCCUGCCCUUUGUACACACCGCCAGUCACUACUACCGAUUGAAUGGUUUAGUGAGGUCGUUGGAUUGGCGUCGUUGUAGUGUCUUUGCCGCUCGACUGAUGCUGAGAAGAUGACCUAAUUUGACUAUUUAGAGGAAGUAAAAGUCGUAACAAGGUUUCCGUAGGUG
rnacentral:rRNA from 11 species